rnacentral:lncRNA from 13 species
AUAAAUAAGCAAAGCGAUAGUUUUUACAUGCAUAGGCACAAAAAGAAAACUGUCAGAUUCACUGCUCUCCAGGGAACCCUUGAAGUAUGCAUCAUUGUUUCAAUGAAGUAUCUUCAUUAUAAAACAUAGAGCCUAUAAAAGAAUCCUUCCAGACAACCUGAGAUUUAGGGAGUCCUACUAAUGUGCGUGUUACAAAGAGGCCUUUAUUAGAGA